UACAGAGGGUGCGAGCGUUGUCCGGAAUCACUGGGCGUAAAGGGCGCGUAGGUGGCGAGAUAAGCGUGUGGUGAAAGCCCGGGGCUCAACCCCGUGUCUGCCAUGCGGACUGUCUUGCUCGAGCGUAGUAGAGGCAGGUGGAAUUCCGGGUGUAGCGGUGGAAUGCGUAGAGAUCCGGAAGAACACCGGUGGCGAAGGCGGCCCGCUGGGCAACUGCUGACACUGAGGCGCGACAGCGUGGGGAGCAAACAGG
rnacentral:rRNA from 1 species